AUAUCAGUGAGGUACAUCCUUACCUGUUCCCUUAUUUAUAAGGUUACAGAACAUGAUGAUUGGAUUCUAUGAAUGUGUGAUUAUACUCUGCAUUCAUCGAGGACUGACAACUCCUCAGUGAACCCUGUCUGAU